rnacentral:misc_RNA from 1 species
AAUGGCAGAAUCGGUGAUAAGUGUAGCGUCUCAGUCUUCGCUUCUUCUUCUAGAGCCUUCCAAGUUUGGAUUUCCAAAUUACGCCAAUCCAUCGAAGUUCCUGCGCCUGCAGCAAUCUUCGACCGAGAAGGGAAACUACCGAUUCGUUGUUUCUUCUGGUAAGCAUUUGAAGCCGCUUGUCGCUGCUAGGGUUGUCUCUUCGGGUCUCGAAUCGUCUACGCUUGUUAACGAUAGGGUUGACUUGUUAACCGAAGGCAUCGAGGUUGAACCGGAUUCCGGAGGCGGCGGUGACGGUUAUGGUGAUAUAGGAGGUCGCGGCGGUGGGGGUGGUGGUGGAGGCGGUGAUAAUAGCGGAGGACAAGGAGGUGCUGGUAGUGGUGGUGAUCAGAGUAACGAAGGUGAAGGGGAUUCAUUGGACGGUAGCAGCGGUGAGAAGAAGAAGAUGGCAUUGUCUAUGUCUCAGAAGCUGACUCUUGGUUAUGCUGCCCUUGUUGGAAUGGGUGGUCUUAUGGGCUAUUUGAAGAGUGGUAGCCAGAAAUCACUUUUGGCUGGAGGACUGUCUGCUUCAAUACUGUUUUAUGUUCACACACAGCUUCCUACAAAUCCUGUUUAUGCCUCGUCUGUAGGGCUUGGUGUGUCUUCUAUACUGUUGGGGGUGAUGGGCUCUCGUUUCUUGAGGUCAAAGAAGAUAUUUCCUGCAGGUGUUGUGUCUCUCGUGUCGAUUGUAAUGACUGGUGGCUACAUUCAUGGAGUUCUGCGCAGCAUGCACUGAAAUAUGCUUAAUGUAACAGUGAGACAUAUGGUUAAUAAAUAGGCUUCAGUUGGCCGUCUUAUAUGGUAGUUGGUGUCAGUGUCUUUUUGUUUUCUUCCUGUAAUGGCACGUAAAAUUUGUGUAUUAUUAUGGAGCUUCAUGGUUGGAACUUUGUAUGGAUGGAUCAUGCAACUACUUUUCUUCGCUUACCUUAGCUAGUAGAGCUGGCAAUCGUCUGAACUAAACUGUAAAAAC